AUGAAAAUAAACAAACAACAAACCCCACAAAGAAUGGACUGUAGCCCGCCAGGCUCCUCUGUCCCUGGAACUCUCCAGAAUAGACCAUAGCCCGCCAGCCUCUUCCGUCCCUGGGACUCUCCAGGCAAGAACACUGGAGCCGGCUGCUGGGCCACCUCGGCGGUCCCCGGCAGGAGGCUCUGGGGUCCGCGAUCAACUCGAGCCCGCCGCGCCGUCGCCGGCGUCCAGCAGGGGGCGCUGCACCCCGGCUCGCCGGCCCUCUCUUCCCCGCCGAGGCCGCCGAGACGCCGGCCAGUCGGGGAGCGGGUCUGCGCGCGCACGUUCUCGGGCGGCCGCCGUGGCCAACGCGCACGGUGACACGCUGGCUGGACGAGGGCCUUUGUCAGAAGCCACGGGGACCUGGCGUUUCCGCACGACGGGAAAAACAAAGGCCUUCUGCCUGCCUGGCCGGGGUUGACAUUGGCUCACCCACUGAUCCCCGGGCUUUUGCAGGCAGAAUGAGUUCGUGCGAGAUCGCAGGACCUUGCCAUGAGUCACGCUCACUUUCUGUAAAUCCGAGUCAACAGCACACUUCCCCUUACUUUAGGCCAUUGCUUGAAGUUUUAGGUCACCCGGUGCUGUUUGCGUUAACAAGAGACUCGAAUAUUUCACAAGUCCUUUUUUUUUUUUUUUUUUUUAAAGGCAAAACCAACUUGGGGGGCAGAUUUAGAGUUGGAGUUUUGGUCGCUUCUAGCUCCCAAAAUAGGUUGGCCUUAUAUAUUAUUUACAUGUUUCAGAAGUAUGCCGUGUAAAAAUUCAAGGGAAACUUGCGAAAUAUUUUCUGGCAGGAGGCCCAGGAGGGGUUAUUCAGGGAGAUAACGAUGACUGGACCAGGCGUGGGAGCAAGACACGUAGGUGAGGAAACUAGCCCAGAGCUUCUUUUUUUUUUUUUUUUUACACCUAGAAAAAAAAAGUAAACACCUGCAGUUGAUCUGUACUGAGGAUUAUGGGCAAAUUUUGAUAUUCUGGGAAACAGACAAGAUGGGAUUAAAAGUAAAGAGACUUUUAAGAAUGUCAUUCAUUCCUUUUUUUAAGUAACCAUGUAAUUUAUCAUUUUUUGCCAAACUUGUAUUGCUUUUAACAAUAAAGUUUAACAGUAAAGAAAAAAAAAAAAAA
ensembl:lncRNA